rnacentral:rRNA from 1 species
UGAGCAAUCUGCCCUUCUCUUCGGAAUAAGCGUUGGAAACGACGUCUAAUGCCGAAUACGACCUCCUUUCGCAUGAUCGGAGGUGGAAAGCUCCGGCGGUGAAGGAUGAGCUCGCGGCCUAUCAGCUUGUUGGUGGGGUGAUGGCCUACCAAGGCGACGACGGGUAGCCGGCCUGAGGAGGGUGACCGGCCACACUGGGACUGAGACACGGCCCAGACUCCGUACGGGAGGNAGCG